rnacentral:rRNA from 1 species
UACGUAGGGGGCUAGCGUUGUCCGGAAUCAUUGGGCGUAAAGCGCGCGUAGGCGGCCCGGUAAGUCCGCUGUAAAAGUCAAAGGCUCAACCUUUGAAUGUCAGUGGAUACUGCCGGGCUAGAGUCCGGAAGAGGCGAGUGGAAUUCCUGGUGGUAGCGGUGAAAUACGUAGAUAUCUGGAGGAACACCGGUGGCGAAGGCGGCGACCUGGUCCAAUACUGACACUCAUACACGAAAGCGUGGGGAUCAAACAGG